rnacentral:rRNA from 1 species
GACGAACGCUGGCGGCGUGCUUAACACAUACAAGUCGAACGGAAAGGCCCUGCUUUUGUGGGGUGCUCGAGUGGCGAACGGGUGAGUAACACGUGAGUAACCUGCCCUUGACUUUGGGAUAACUUCAGGAAACUGGGGCUAAUACCGGAUAGGAGCUCCUGCUGCAUGGUGGGGGUUGGAAAGUUUCGGCGGUUGGGGAUGGACUCGCGGCUUAUCAGCUUGUUGGUGGGGUAGUGGCUUACCAAGGCUUUGACGGGUAGCCGGCCUGGGAGGGUGCACGGCCACAUUGGGAAUGAGAUACGGCCCAGACUCCUACGGGAGGCAGCAGUGGGGAAUAUUGCACAAUGGGCGGAAGCCUGAUGCAGCAACGCCGCGUGCGGGAUGACGGCCUUCGGGUUGUAAACCGCUUUCGCCUGUGACGAAGCGUGAGUGACGGUAAUGGGUAAAGAAGCACCGGCUAACUACGUG